GGAAUAUUGGACAAUGGGCGCAAGCCUGAUCCAGCCAUGCCGCGUGCAGGAUGACGGUCCUAUGGAUUGUAAACUGCUUUUAUACAGGAAGAAACCCUGGUUCGUGAACCAGCUUGACGGUACUGUAAGAAUAAGGAUCGGCUAACUCCGUGCCAGCAGCCGCGGUAAUACGGAGGAUCCAAGCGUUAUCCGGAAUCAUUGGGUUUAAAGGGUCCGUAGGCGGUUUAGUAAGUCAGUGGUGAAAGCCCAUCGCUCAACGGUGGAACGGCCAUUGAUACUGCUAAACUUGAAUUAUUAGGAAGUAACUAGAAUAUGUAGUGUAGCGGUGAAAUGCUUAGAGAUUACAUGGAAUACCAAUUGCGAAGGCAGGUUACUACUAAUGGAUUGACGCUGAUGGACGAAAGCGUGGGUAGCGAACAGGAUUAGAUACCCUUG
rnacentral:rRNA from 1 species